rnacentral:siRNA from 1 species
GAGGACUUCCUCAAAGGGGUGUU